CAGCCACACCUGAACCUCCCCCGCCCCCAGGAGCGUCAGCAGCGGGGCACCAACGCGCCUCAGGUGGGCCAUGGCGGGCGGGGGGCGGCGGCGCUGGGGAGGGCCCCCUCCGAGGGGGCCUCCUCCUGCUGCAUCCCAGCUCCACCACAGGACCUCACAUUUUUCAUUUUCCUUAAAAAGAAAAGCUUUUUUUACUUACUUAUUAUCUGACCUGUCUUGAUAGUUUCCUCCUUAAUUGCUCUCUACUUAAAUCUGUUCCUAAUUGCAAGAGGGUUGCACUUUAAUCACACCUAAAUUUAAUUUUAGCCCACACCAGUCUCGCAUUAUCUCGUUUACACCAGAGCCUUUAUUUAUGGCCGUAGAGGGGGCAGGGGCAGGGUGUCCCUGAGGGCUGGCUCUCUCUGGGGUCAGCAAUGGCUCCCUGUUCUGUGGGUGCCGGGAUCCCGGCUCCGCUCCUGGAGCAGCUGAACCUGCCUCACGAAGCCCCUUUGAACAAAAGCCGGGUAGCUGGCGGAGAUCGUACCCUUGCUACGUUAGGUGACACGGCGCGGCAGAGCCGUUAGAGGAACCACACAGCCAGCACCCGCCAGCACCCCGCCAGCACCCCGCCAGCACCCACGCUGCGGCACAGCCCUGCCCGCGCCCUGGGGCAGCAGGAGAGAGGCCGAACCCAAGGGGCAGCUCUCAAGGCCGGCUGGCGCUCCCCUCCCUGCACAGCUGCGGAUGCUCUUGGGCAGCGACACACGGGCAGGACCAGGAGAGACGCGCUUGGGUGGGGAGGUAACCUGGGAGCUUCAGCUCUUUUGCCGUGAGCGCAGAGCCAGGGAGCUCCUGCCGUCGCAUCCCAGCUAGUUCCCCCGGUUUCUGCCCGUGGAUGCCCCUGUGCUGGAUUGAGUUGCUCACCUCUGUCUGUGCCAGCCCUGCCUACGACCCGCCGCCAGCCGCAGCCCGUGGGAGGGACUCCUGCCAUCCCCGGAGGCCUCAGGAGUUUCACCCUUCGUGCUGCCUCGGGCAGAGGGCAGCAGGGGCCCAGGAGAGGAAGGAGGAAUCAUUUAGGAAGUAGCAGCAGAACAAAGAAGAAAAAGAAAAAAUCUUUUUUCUUUGCGUACAAAGACAUCUCAGCCUUCCUGGGGAGAAGAAAAGAAGAGGGAGGUAGAUGCACCACACAAAGAGAAGAAAAUGUGCUGAGAAACCACAAGGCAUUUAAAAGCUCACACAGGAAACCAAACCCACUUUGAUAUCCCCUCUCAUUGGAAAUGUUUGAGGCCAGAAUAAUGCUGCCAUGAUGUAUCACACAAAGGGAUGAGAAAGCAUGUAUUUGUUGAGCAGCGACACGCGUGCCCUUCCAAGAACAGGCAACUGCGAAAGCAACGGCCGUCGUGCGGGAGAGGAGCCACCUCCAUCAGCAUGUAGGGAUGUGCACUGAAAAGAGGAUAAAAAUAGAAAGCGUGAGUGUUCUUCAGGGAGGAGAGUGGCUGCGGAUGUGCCUGUGAGGCGGGGACCGGCUCGCAGGAGGUCCGGGCUCCCUUCCCCCUCAGCUUCGCACCCUAAACUUUUAACGAGAGAAAUCACAGCUCGCUCAUGGCACGGUGACUCCCGAGCAGCGCGUGUCCCUGCUGCGUCCCACUGCUGAUUUGCAAUGAAACACAGAGCUGUUCCAACGGCUGUGCACCAUUAAGGGCUUGAAAUCACGAUGCAGCUUGAAGAAGUGGAGCUGAGGAUGGAUCUUAUGGGGUUUGAUGUUCCAUGGAGGCUGCUGGCCAGCACGCAGCCCUGCCCAGGUCCGAGGGAUCUCCAGCUGUGGCUGUCCAGCCCCCUGCCUCAUCGCUGCCCGGCCGACUCUGCCGCAGGGCUUCCCCAGCCCCAGCUGGCUCCGAAAGGCCAAACCCUUGGCAAUGGCACAGCUAUGGAAGGGAGAGAGAGAGGAGAACGUGUGUGCACAGAAAGGGGAGCAGGCACGGGGAGAAGCACGUUGCACCGAGGAGCCGGUGCCGGCGGCGGAGGUGCAGCCCUGCACCGGUUUUGCCGUGCUGCCCUGGCACCCGGGCUCGGUGGAGUCUGUCUGUCCCUCUCAGCAGCGGCCAAGCCUGCAUUUUUCAUACCCACCCAGUUUUGCAAGAAGCAACGUUUGCAAAUGGUUCUCAAAUAAUCGCGGAGCUGUGAGCUUCCACUGGGAACGCCCCUGGAGCAAUGUUGGGGUCGGGAUCAGGGUCAGCACAGCCUGGAUGUGGUACCCUCGCCGCAGGAGCAGCUAGGCUGGUGCUGAGCCAGGCGGCAGAGUAACGCUCCUGCCGCCAUCCCACCCGUCCUGCCAUCCCACCAGCACAGGAGGCGGAGGGUCAGCGCCAGCUCACUGCACUGAUGUUUGAUGGGAGGACUUUCUGAAACAAGACAAAGGCAGUGAUACUUUUAUUAUACGCAAAAGUGGACAGGAAUUUGCAUUCAAGCCUCCUUUCUGGACAGCAGAAGUCUGCACUUAUCCGGAACGUCAAACUCUUAUAUCUGUGAAUGCAAAUAUUUGCCCCAGACCACAGAGCAAACGAAAAGUUUCUCCAUUACGUAUUUGUUUUAAAAAGAUGUUUUCUAAAUACUAUAAAACAAGGAGUGGGGAGUGAGAGGUUACCUGUAUUACUCUGAGACAUGAGCUAAAUCAGCAUUUCAAACACACCAUUUCCUGCACGAUUGGCCGGCGGCUCCCUUUCUGCAUCGUAACCUCCAGUGAGGGAUUGCAGGACCAGCAGCCCUUACUAAUUACAAGCCCUCCCUGCCCCAAAAUAAAUCAACAGCUUGGGAUAUAUUUGGCAAGACUGAAAAAGGAAAUAGUGAUGUUUAUAUUUGUCAUCCGCUUGUGAAGUCUUUCAGGUUUUGCUUUCUAGCAUUCAUCCACACACGUAAGCAUCACUGGAAAACCCGCUGGGAUUUCUGCACCGUCACCUGCCUCCAGGAGCUGGUGCCGAAGGAGGAAGCAUCAGCCAGCACGGGCUGUUUUACAAGCGUGGCUGUGGCAAUCCUGCUUUUUAGUUAUUAAAUCCAGUGAGAGUGAGACAGCGCAGCUGAUUUCUGACUCUGUGGGUGAAGACUAAACUGCCCAGGGAGCUUUCGGAGGCCCUGUGGACGGCAGCUAGCGCAGAGGGGGAUUUGGUGACCAUCUUGGGAGGAGCACAGCUGCAGGUUGUGUAAUUUUACGUGGCUGCUUUGCUGCUGCUCUGCCGGUGCAGCUGCCUACAGCGGCGCUCUCCUGGGCCAGGGUGGGAAGACAAAUGGCUUGUGCUGCUCAAAGGGUCCAGUUCCUCCUUAGGUAACUUUAAACUCAAUCAUGCCUGACUUUGCUUGCAAAGAAAUCUUGAGACGCCUUGAAAGACUGGUGCUGCCUCAUUUACUCUCUGUCGCGCUGACUUUCCUCCUGCACAAGCAUGCGGAACUGUGCCUGCUCGUUUUUGCAGAUUUGCUGCCAAAACAGGGUAGGAUUUCAGUGUGAGGAAUGAGUGCGAUUUGGGAGAAAGCCCAGCAGAACGUAACUUACCCGGUGCCAGGAUUUACGAUGCUCUCCUCACGAAGCCUGCGUGCCAGGCUGCCACGUCUCGGUGGCUCGGUCACAGUGCCCAGGGCAGGACUGGGACCCCCGCUGCGCUGAGCCGCAAGCUGGGGCUUGCAAAGGAGGGGGUGAGGUGGUGGCAGCCCCCCGAGGGCAGCGCUCGCACCCUCUGCUUUGGGGUAACCCUCCUACACGUGCCCCUUUUUGAUGGCUGUGUUGAAAAGCCCAUCUCUGAGCGGCAGGAUUUGGCCUCAUCAGCCAGACUCUGGGCUAUGUUGAAAGCUUCCAACUUUUUCAGGCAAACGCUCUUUGUCUGCUGUCUAAGAAAAUCGGGCCCUGAUUACUGAUUAGACCUACCUACUUGCCAAAAUAUUGAAGAAACAUGAACAAAACUUAGAGCAAAAAGAUUAUUUCAGGGAAGUGUAAGCCACAAAACAAACCAGUACUAAUGUAUUAUUAAUAUACUGAUGUCAGCAUUAAUAGUAAUGCAGUGUUUUGCAGCUGUUUUAGUAAUAAUGCUACAGCUUUAUGUAUUCAUAAGUGUACUAAUAUUAAUGCCACUUUCUGCAAUAAAUAACAUUGAUAAUAGCAUUGCUUCUCAGGGGCUGUUGAAAACUUCUGCUUCUUGCACUUGUUGUCCAGCCAGCAUCCCCUUCCCACUGCUAACAGGUCUCCCCUUGCAGCAUGGGCUUGGUGCACGGGACCAUUGCUCACGGGACUGAGGCACCCCUGAAUUGCUGCUGGAGUAUCUGGGUAAUUCCCCUGGCCAAGGGUCCACUUCAUUUUUAUAGGCUUGAGUUCUUUAUCCCAUAUUCCUCUGCAGGGGACCUGCUACCAACAGCGUCUCAAAGACAGGGCAGGGGGAGGCACCUGUAUCCUAUUAACAACUUUCUGGUCUUUUGUUGAGCCUAUAGGUGGGUUUCAGCCAAUCCACCUGGUUCAAGGCUCUAAUAAGAAGCACAUGAGCCUUUCCACCUGGUGCUUAAUGUGACCACUCUCUGGGGACAGUGUCCCUGCUGGGCUCGCAGGGCUGGUGGGUGGAUGUUGGCCAUGAAGGAGCUGCCCUGCGACAGCCCAGGAGAGUGUGGAGAUGCUGUUGGGAAGAGAGGAGAGUCCAGCUGACCCACAAACCCCCAAGUGGGGGUUUUAAUGAAGCUGCUAUGGUCUGAAGUUAGAGAGAAGGGUAUGGAGAUGCAUUUUUGAGUGGCUCAGCCCCCUCCCCAGCGCUGCCUCCUGAGCUCCUGGGACUGCGCAGAGGAGGAGCUGGGACUAGUCCCAGGUAAGCCGGUGCCUGGGCAUGCUGGUGAGAGGAGCUGGCUCUGUGGGAGCUUCGCCGGGACAGCCCUGGCUGGCCUGUUCCUGGGGUUUGCUGUGGCAAUGCUGUGCUGGUUCUCUGCGAGUUGGCCCUAACCAGUGGCUGUCGCAGAAGGAUGGAUCGGUGCAGUGACAGAGUUGUACGGGAUGGGCUGUGGUGUCUGGGGCUGCUUUUUGCCUUUUUUUUUUUUUUUUCCAUAAGAGAUGGAACAUGUUGCAGGCACCCAGUGAGAGCUGAGAAACACCUGGGUUGGAGGGACAGAGUUUUACUGAUCAGCAGCAUCUCGCUGCUGACCCAGGUCCUGGCUCCUGGUUCUUGCAGGGUGGAAGACGGUGUGUGUGAUGCCAUUGGGUACCACGAUGCUAUUAGCUAAAAACUAAGCUUUGUGGCUUGGCUGGUGACUUGAAUCCUCUCCUGCCCUGCGCAAAGCUUUCAGGUUCUCAGUGCUGGGAAUUGGUCAUCAGAAGCCUUCUAGCUUGUUUGUGGUUGCUGUGCUUUACAGCAAGGGGUAGGUCAGCUUAGACCUAUUUUUUAUGAAGAGCUUGUGAGCCUGCAGGCUCCUUGUUGCUGUUUCUCUUUCUUAAUUGGCUUUGAGUGCAUAUGUGUGGAUGUGCAUGUGCCUGCCUCCCUCAUCAGCAGCACCCCUGGUAUUCAGCAGAGUAAUUAGAACAUCUAAAUCUUCCCUAUAUGUCAUCCAGACUUUGUAAAAUUAACUGUGAUUACUGGCACCAGCCUGCAGACGUGCCGGAUCCCACCCCAGCUCCUGAUAAGCAUAAUUGCUCCUCAUUGUUCCUCUGGAAAGUGUUAUGCUCGCUGCCAUGUGCGAGCUCCUUCCUGCUUGCUUUUAUAUUAGCGCAGAGUUAAAUGACUUUGGCUUUUGUUGACUCUGGGAGGAUUUAUGAGGAGUUGCACAUAACUGAAAUCAGAAGUGCUGCUUGAUUGCUGAGCAAACAGAAGGCCUGGGUUCGGUGAUGGCUCUUGAAAUGAAUCCUUCUCCUUCCUUGACCCCUCGCUGGAUUGGGCAGUGGGUUGAGCUGCCUGGGGUACGGCGGGGAGACCUGGCCCGUGCUGCCUUGCCCCGGGGUACAGCCCGCGGUGGAGCAGCGCCCUCUCACAAAGAGCCCUGAACCUCCCCAAGGGCUUAUAUAUAAAUACAUAUAUUUCCUAUACUAUAUGUAAAAAUUUAAAAAUGCAGGCUGGGUCGGGGACGUGGUUUUAUGCCUCUCCCCACAGGACAGCGUUAUUUCUGCAGUCUGGAGCUGCGUCUUUGAACGCAAGCGACUGCGUGUGGUAAGGACCUGCCCUGGGAAGGUGCCAGUUCUGGUACAAAGUGUGCGUGGGGGAGGCCAAGGGGCAGCUAGCGAUCAUUAUUAGUCUCUUGUUAAAUGAGGUGUGACACUGAGCACUUAUCCAUUUCCUUACCACACAGGUAAGUGGGGUGAAGAAAUAGAGAAAUUUUCUUUUUGAAGCUUUCUUUUCUUCCUCCUCCUCCCUUUUCCACACCCAGCCCAAGUGGCACGUAGAGAUCGGUGUCACAUCUUGUCUUUCCAGGCCAAGUGCUGCCCAGAUGUCCUUCAUAUUUCUCUGUCUUUCCUUGAGGAUGCUGGGUCUCUCACACCAUUCCCAAUUUAAGAACAAAAAAAAAAAACAACCAGAAAAGAAAAAAAAACAGCCAGGGAACUAACUUUGCUAAUGACUUUGCUGACUGGAAUCAUUAAGGACAUCUCGGCAUCGUGGCCCCUCUCCUCUCUGCUUUCAGGAGCAAUAUUGAUCGCUAUUUUAAUUUAAAUCUUGGACAAAAACCCUUCACUUUUUUCUUCCGAGUUCUCCAGCGUGGCCCACCAUGAGAACCGAUCAUGUUUCUUGGGGCGUAGCGCAGUGGAACAGCGGGCAAGAGGGAUGAAGAGCCUGGGGCAGUGUCUGCGCACAGCCGUGAGCCCGGGCAGGGUGGGCGAUUUCCCCCCCAGCUCUGACCGAGGGGUGGGUCAAGGACCUGCCUCGGGAGUGCUGAAAAGCUGGUAAUUGUGGGGAAACUGCUUCAAAAUUCAACCAAGAGGAGGCAAGGCUGGCAUUUUCAGUAGGGAAGUCUAGUGCUCUGGCAUCUCUCUGCUCUCAUUAUAUACUUUCAAAUUGCUCUUAUAUAUGCUUCAAAGGUUAAUAUAUGUUUGUGAUGAGUGCACUUUGUAUAAAUGUUAAUUAGCCUGGGUGCAAUUCAAAGGAAUCUUCCCUCAAUAAAUGCUUUUUCUGUAUUUUUAGCC